rnacentral:misc_RNA from 1 species
GAGAUAAAACAUCAAGUGAAAAUAUGGCGGCGUAGAGGAUCAAGUGGGGUUGGCUGACAACAAAAUAGAAAUAAUUCCUUGAUUUUAGUCAACAAAGUGCUUUCGAAUUGAGGAAUUAGCCUUUGUUUUUCUAAAUGUGAUGUGUUGUGUCGUUUUAUUAUGUAGUUAAGGGUGCUGUUCGGGUAAAUCCACCCCUUCGGUGUGGUGUAGUGGACAUCAAUAAAAAACAUCAGUGAUAAUUUCGAAUCUUAAGGGUAUGAUUUCAAGCCAUGGGUGCUCAGAAUACCAAGGAAAGGACAAUAUCCAGUGGCACCCAUUCUAUAAGAACAACAAGAAAUAGACCAAGACCAGCGAAAGAUGGACGACAAAUCUCCAAUAUUUUUACGGAACACAAUGGAUUUAGGGUGAACAAAGUGGACCUUGAAGAAAUUCUUUCGAAAUCAAAGGCCUUAUUGCAGAGCAGACCGUUGCCUCACAUCCCCAGCUUGCCCGAAAGCGACCCACCAGGAACACUCAACACCAAUACUCUCAGCUCUGGCUUGGGUACGCUUUCUGGCUCAUCGACUUCUGGAGCUCCAUCUACACCAUUGUCUUUCGAGACCGCAAAUCGAUGGACGUCCAAAGAAAAUCUCUUAGCGCAAGAAGAAGACGAUCCUCAGUUGUUUGUGGCGCUGUAUGACUUCCAAGCUGGAGGGGAAAACCAACUUAGUCUUAAGAGAGGAGAGCAAGUUAGAAUAUUGAGUUACAAUAAAAGUGGAGAAUGGUGCGAAGCACACUCCUCAACAAAUCAAGUGGGCUGGGUGCCAUCAAAUUACGUGACACCAGUGAAUUCUCUGGAAAAACAUUCGUGGUAUCACGGGCCGAUAUCCAGAAAUGCGGCUGAAUAUUUGCUCAGUUCGGGAAUCAACGGUAGCUUCUUGGUCAGGGAGUCGGAGAGCAGUCCUGGUCAGCGAAGCAUAUCUCUGAGGUACGAAGGUCGCGUCUACCAUUACAGGAUAAACGAAGACACCGAAGGGAAAGUGUUUGUUACUACGGAAAGUAAAUUCAAUACUCUUGCUGAACUGGUACAUCACCACUCGAUGGCAUCGGAUGGUCUCAUUACCCAACUUUUGUACCCCGCCCCCAAGCACAACAAACCGACGGUGUUUCCUCUUAGCCCGGAACCGGACGAAUGGGAGAUAAACAGAACUGAUAUUGUGAUGAAACAUAAGUUAGGUGGUGGACAGUACGGGGAUGUUUAUGAGGCCAUGUGGAAGAGGUAUAAUAUGACAGUUGCUGUGAAAACCCUGAAAGAAGAUACGAUGGCUCUCAAAGACUUUCUGGAAGAAGCUGCCAUCAUGAAAGAAAUGAAACACCCGAAUCUCGUACAGUUGAUGGGCGUCUGUACGAGGGAACCCCCCUUUUAUAUCAUAACCGAAUUCAUGAGCAAGGGUAAUCUGUUAGAUUAUCUCAGAAACGGGAACAAGGAACAGAUAAACGCCGUGGUACUUAUGUAUAUCGCUACGCAGAUAGCUAGCGGUAUGAACUACUUAGAGAGUAGGUGUUUCAUUCAUCGUGACUUAGCCGCAAGGAAUUGUUUAGUAGGGGAGAACCACUUGGUGAAAGUGGCCGAUUUUGGGCUCGCUAGGCUGAUGCGGGACGACACUUACACGGCUCACGCUGGUGCAAAAUUUCCUAUCAAGUGGACCGCACCCGAAGGUUUAGCGUAUAACAAAUUUUCUACGAAGUCUGAUGUUUGGGCUUUCGGAAUUUUGCUGUGGGAGAUUGCGACCUACGGAAUGUCUCCUUAUCCCGGAGUCGAUUUGACUGACGUGUACCACAUGCUAGAAAAGGGUUACAGGAUGGAGUGCCCUCCUGGGUGUCCACCAAAAAUUUAUGAUCUGAUGAGGCAGUGUUGGCAGUGGCAUUCACAUGAAAGGCCCACUUUCAAGGAGAUACACCACGCUCUGGAAAAUAUGUUUCAAGAAUCUAGCAUUACAGAAGAGGUAGAGAAACAGCUACAAGGGAAUGAAUCUUCGCCGAUUCCUCUGGGCACUCCACAUAUGGCUUUCAAAAAGUCACAUUCUGGAAGCACUGGGAAUAUUCACGGCCUAGUUGGUUUAUCAGAACAGACCUCUACAGACAAUCUGAACAGCACUUGCACUAAAUUGUCGACAUUCACAGGAGGGGCUAAAACGAGUAUGGUUCAGAUGAGGAGAUCUACCAAUAAAAAAGGAAUGCCUGCUCCGGCGCCUCCAAAACGUACAAGCUUGCUGUCUUCUUGCAGCUCUUUCCGAGAUAGUACCUUCGACGACCAAGGCCAAGGAGAAAACGUUGCCGAAGACGGGACUGAUUUAAACGGUAUUAAAAAAAUAUUUAAAGGACUGACAAGGGAACUGCAGAACCUCACUGCAAGUACAAAAUGUGAUAGCGAAAGUGAUCUCCAAGACCAAACGCCUGAUACUGAUGACUCGGGGGCCCACUCCUACCCGGAGGUGUCCACAGUCAGUAGUUUCGUUCCGAGUAUGGGGUCCUUCAAGAGGGCACCUAUAAUGGGUAAUAGAGGAUUGGAACAGAGGGGGAAAAAGACCAAAACAAAAGAAUCGCCAACGGUCCAGGUAGCUGCAUUAGAAGUUCAAAAUGUUCGAAAAGCCAUCAGUCGAUACGGCACUUUACCGAAGGGUGCAAGAAUAGGAGCUUACUUAGAGUCGCUUCGACAAAACAGUAAUACGACAAACGAAGAAAUCGUUGUACAAGCUGUAAAUCCGGCACUGGAGCAUUCCGAUAUCACGCCAAGAUCUCUUUCUCCUCGAACUAAUAUCCGAACGCAGCCACAGAUGAUUCGAAGUAAUUCUUCCAGUGGUGUAACGACUUUCCAUGCCACUCAUCCUCCCAGCUCUCCCACUUCGAAUAAACUCUCUAGGAACAGGAAUUUGGCUAGGAAUAACAGCGCCGAUGUAAGGAGUAGUUUGAGAAGUUUCAAAGUUUCUCAGAAUAACUCAUUUCGCGGAGGCAGCCCUUCGAGGUCUGUGCAACCCACCUUGGCCGACUUGGAGUUUCCGCCUCCUCCUACGGAUUUACCACCUCCCCCUGAGGAGUUUGACGGUUCGGGAAUAGACCAAGUGGACUGUAGUACUUCUAUAAUGACGUCAUCUCAAGAACUGAGGAAAAGGAUUAUACCCAUCUCUCCGUUGACCACGAAGAAAAUUACAAGGGAACCCGAAAACACAGAAGGUACUGAUGUCAGUACCUUGCAACCUUCUGUGAAGGAAGCCAGCUCUAGAUUCGGAGUCAGUCUGAAGAAACGAGAGCCGAGCACCGAUAGUUGUAAUAGCGCCAAGGAACAAAAGGAGGAAGGGAAGGAGAAAAGUCCACAACGAACCAGUCUGAGUCUUACUAGUCCUAGUCAUGAUGGCAAGAGUCCUAUGAGUAUUGAUUCCGAUGUUCCUGUGGUCGGUUCUCCUUCGGAACCCAUGCCACCGCCGCCAAAUUUGUGUGAAAAUGAUGCAGAACCCCUAGAAGCAUCAGAAGACAAUAAAACCUCCAAAGUGUUCAAAAACAAGCUUGUGAUGAAAGAAAUGGAACUCAAACUAGUAGCUGAAAUAAAAGAGAGUCAGAACCUGAAGGAAAAAAAUCUCAAAGAAUCUCCUGUAGAACCCCUUUUGGCUGUGAGUGGCAUCAGCCAUGAUCCUGUAGCUCAGUUAGUGACUGAACUGUCGCAGUCUCUCAAUUUGGAUAAAGACUCUGAUAAAAAUGUAGUAAGAAAAAACUCUCAAGGAACCAUUACAACGAAAUCCUCGGAAAAUAAUGGCGUGACGUAUGUUUCCCAGCUCAAAAAAAUCGACCUGAAAAAGCCAACUACCAAAGAAAAACCUGAAAACGACUCCUCUAUGAUAAUUGAUUUCAAGUCAAGAUUACGGAAAGUUGAAAGUGAUAAAAAAACUGAUGAUAACAGAAACGAAGACAACGAAACGGAAGUGAAUAAGAGGGAAAGUACUGCAAGUUCAGAUAGUGGGAACCUGAAAAUUGACGAGGGAGAUGACAAGCGAAAGAGCACGGGAAGUAUCAGUAGUUUGAAAAAGUUAUGGGAACAAAAGGAUAGUUCGGAUGGCUAUGGAAAUAUCCAGCUAAGUCCCAAGUUGUCAAUCAAGAAUAACAGAAAUGAGGAAGUCACGGAAGGUUCGCCAGUUGAAACCUCUGAUGAAUCCGUUAAAUUAGAACGGACUGUUAAAGGCGAUAAGAAAUGCUGGCCCCCUGUAACCGAUGAAAAACCCGUCAUACCUCUGAAGCCUCCCGUGAAAGCUCUGAAGCCGAUAAUGAGCCGACCUGCCGGCUCUGCUAUUUACGCCACUCCUAUGGCUACAAACACAAACUCAAAACCUCCCAUAAUGACUAAACCAACCAGUGUAGAGAACAAAUCGUCCGAUGAGGAUUCCAAGUUGACUCCGAGCGAUAAAAGUGGCAAAGACAAUAUUUUAGAAAUAUCGCAGACAUUAGAGGCGACAUUGAACAGCAUCAAAUCCAACGGGGCCGCCUCACCGGCAAUUUGGUUGCAGAUAUCUGACAAAAUAGGUAUGCUCCACGGUUCCUGCAUGGAUUACGCCGACAGUGUGGUUCCGGCGCAUACGAAAUUCCACUUCAGAGAGUUACUGACGAGGUUGGAAAGUCAGGCCCGACAACUCAGGUCUGCGGGCUCUAGGAAUUCCACCGAGAACGCACGAUGCGUUAACGAGGUCAAUAAUACUAUCAGGGACGUUGUGAAUGUGGUUUUUAGAUAGGCUGGACUCUUGACAUUUUCCAAUUUAUCUUCUGAUACAUGUGUAUUCGACUGUUAGGACCAUUUCCUGUAAUAAUUUACUUUUAGGAACAAGACAUGUUGGAACACCAACUUCCACAACGUCACAUCAGACAAACCUCAAAACUAUAGUCUUAUCUUUAGGAAGUGGGGAUAAGAAAUAUUAAAAAUGGUGAAUUGAAUGCUCUUUAUGGGCCUGGUUCCUUUUAUGAGCUUCAUUUGGAAGCUCAAAGUGAUUAUUUUGGUUCAUAAUGCUCGUAGUUAUGACCUGUUCUCGAUAAUUUGUUAAGACUUUGGAGCAAAUCAAAGUAUACAGCUGAAUCAGUUAGUGGGAGAUAUAUAGUCGAAAUUUCAAGAAUUUCUUGAAAGGCUAUGAAAUGAAAAAGUUCAGUUUAGUACAUAAAAAAUAUGCUAGUCUUGUUUUUGUAAUAAAGUUUUGAUUCGAGGAUGUGUGUGAAUGAUGAGUAGAUUUAAGCGAAAAUUGAUACUGUAGAGAUAUUAUCAAAUAAGAAUUUUGUACAAUCCAAAGAUUUUUAAAAUUUGAAGUACGGAAUUGUAAUUGUUUUCUUGAUUGAUUUCACUUCAUCUCUGUUAUUUAUGUACAUAAUUGUUUUUGUCCUUUUCGUAUCUUAUUUUAAGGUUAAAUUAUUCUUAUUUAAAUAUCAAAAAAAUCGUUUCUAUUCAAAGAAUUUCUGUUAUUUGUAAACAACAUGUUCUCCUAGGGACUAUUAAUCAACUAUAUUACGAACAAUUUAUGAAUUGUUGGAAAACACCAGAUAUUUCUUAUAUAAAAAUGCUUUAUUAGUGUGUGUUUAUAAACAUUUAAUUACAACGAUAUACUCAAUAUUUGUGCAAAAACAGUACUGUUCGGGAAUAUAGCUGCCAAUGAGUGUUAUUUUUUGGUUGUUUAAAAUAUAUCGACCAUCUUCAUAGUUGUAGAAAUAAAGGUUUUAUACUCCGCCAAAUUUGAGCAGGUGGAUUAUUUGUAGAAAUGUUUUCAGGCGUUCUGUAUUCCUGUUGAACUGAUUUCUAUUUUUCGGAGACUUGCUACAAAUCCCUUUUUUUUUUCUCAAAUUCAAAGCAAAACUGAUUCCUGUUCAAUUCUAAUUUGAAGAAUACACUUUUCUUAAGUUUCAAGUUGAAAUACUGCUCAGUUUGAAAAAAAGCGUAAAAAUUGUGCCAUGUUUAUACGUAUGAAAAUCAAAUUCGUAUUUUGUGGUUAUACUCAAUAAAAAUUGAAUUCUAAAGUACUUCCUGUCAGAGUACCUCUUUUUUCUUUUUGUGAUUGGAGAGUGUACGACACAAGUCUUGCACUGUCAAUAGAGUUAGCAUUUUUUGUACUUGUGUAGCUGUUUUGAUAUUUUUUGUAUAUACCUUAUAUUUAUAUCUAUGCUGCAUUUUGUACAGGCUUCGUAAUUAGGAAAUAACAGACUGUAUCUAUUUAAAAAUAAAUUUGCUAAUUUAAAGUA